rfam:Virgibacillus massiliensis genome assembly, contig: 000001
UUCUUAUCCAGAGAGGUGGAGGGAUAUGGCCCCAUGAAGCCUCGGCAACAGGUUUUUAUAACCAUUUAUAAAAAGACUGUGCCAAAUCCAUCAAGUCCAUGUGACUUGAAAGAUAAGAA